GGCUCAUCACAUCCUGGGGCUGAAGUAGGUCCCAAGGGUAUGGCUGUUCGCCAUUUAAAGUGGUACGCGAGCUGGGUUUAGAACGUCGUGAGACAGUUCGGUCCCUAUCUGCCGUGGGCGCUGGAGAAUUGAGGGGGGCUGCUCCUAGUACGAGAGGACCGGAGUGGACGCAUCACUGGUGUUCGGGUUGUCAUGCCAAUGGCACUGCCCGGUAGCUAAAUGCGGAAGAGAUAAGUGCUGAAAGCAUCUAAGCACGAAACUUGCCCCGAGAUGAGUUCUCCCUGAGACUUUAAGUCUCCUGAAGGAACGUUGAAGACGACGACGUUGAUAGGCCGGGUGUGUAAGCGCAGCGAUGCGUUGAGCUAACCGGUACUAAUGAACCGUGAGGCUUAACCUUACAACGCCGAAG
rnacentral:rRNA from 1 species